rnacentral:rRNA from 1 species
UGGGGAAUUUUGGACAAUGGGCGAAAGCCUGAUCCAGCAAUGCCGCGUGUGUGAAGAAGGCCUUCGGGUUGUAAAGCACUUUUGGCGAGAACGAAACAGCGCCCGCUAAUACCGGGUGCGAAUGACGGUACUCGCAGAAUAAGCACCGGCUAACUACGUGCCAGCAGCCGCGGUAAGACGUAGGGUGCAAGCGUUAAUCGGAAUUACUGGGCGUAAAGCGUGCGCAGGCGGUUUUGUAAGACAGAUGUGAAAUCCCCGGGCUCAACCUGGGAACUGCAUUUGUGACUGCAAGGCUAGAGUGCGUCAGAGGGAGGUGGAAUUCCGCGUGUAGCAGUGAAAUGCGUAGAGAUGCGGAGGAACACCGAUGGCGAAGGCAGCCUCCUGGGAUGACACUGACGCUCAUGCACGAAAGCGUGGGGAGCAAACAGG